rnacentral:rRNA from 1 species
UACAGAGGUGGCAAGCGUUGUUCGGAUUUACUGGGCGUAAAGGGUGCGUAGGUGGUCGUUUAAGUCGGGUGUGAAAUCCCAAGGCUCAACCUUGGAAUGGCGCUCGAAACUGGACGACUGGAGUGCAGGAGGGGAGAGCGGAAUUCUUGGUGUAGCGGUGAAAUGCGUUGAUAUCAAGAAGAACACCGGUGGCGAAGGCGGCUCUCUGGAAUGCUACUGACACUGAGGCACGAGAGUUGGGGGAGCAAACAGG